ensembl:lncRNA
UCUUUUAUAUUUUCCAGACAAGGGUCAGUAAUCACGGAAACACAGCUAGCUUUCAACUCCACACAAGCUAUUCCAACUGUUCAAGAGAUUUCAGACACCCUCUUUACAGCAGUGAUAAACGGAAGUGUCAACCCACUGAACAUAACUCCUUAUUCAAUUUCAGUCAACGGUUCGAUUAUAAACGUGACUACUUCAACUACAGCAUCAACAACAACAACAGCAAUGACGAUGACAACAACAAGAACAACAACAACCACACCGACAACAACUACAAGAGCCUUGACAUCUACAACUAAAGUGCCUGCAACUAAAACUACACAAUUUGUACCUGUGUAUCUAACAGCUCUGGUGUUCCGCUCUUUAGACAUAUUCAUAACUGAACUCAGUAAUCAAAGCUCUCAGGCCUUCAAGUCAAGAUCUGAGCUUGUCAGAUCUCAGCUUGAACUCAUCUACAGAGCAAAAUAUCUUUCCUUUAUCAGAGUGGAUGUCUUAAGUUUCCGUCCUGGGUCAAUCAUCACAGAAACCCAGCUAGCUUUUAACUCCACACAAGCUGUUCCAACCGUUCAAGAGAUUUCAGACACUCUCUUUACAUCAGUGAUAAAUGGAUUUGUCAGUCCACUGAACAUAACUCCUUAUUCAAUUUCAGUCAAUGGUUCAAUUAUAAACGUGACUACUUCAACUACAGCAUCAACAACAACAACAACAACAGCAAUGACAAAUACAACAACCACAACAACAACAACCACACCAACAACAACAACAAAACCCUUGACAUCUACAACUAAAGUGCCUGCAACUACAACUACACAAUUUGUACCUGUGUAUCUAACAGUUCUGGUGUUCCGCUCUUUUGACAUAUUUAUAAUUGAACUCAGUAAUCAAAGCUCUCAGGCCUUCAAGACAAGAUCUGAGCUUGUCAGAUCUCAGCUCGAACCCAUCUACAGAGCAAAAUAUCCUUCCUUUAUCAGAGUGAUUGUCUUAAGUUUCCGUCCUGGGUCAAUCAUCACAGAAACUCAACUAGUUUUUAACUCCACACAACCUGUUCCAACCGUUCAAGAGAUUUCAGACUCCCUCCUGUCAGCAGUGGUAACAGGAGGUGUCGAUCCACUGAACAUAAUCCCUUCAACAGUUUCAGUCAAUGGUUCAGUUAUAGCUACGACUGUUGCUGCAACUACAGCUUCAAGUGGACUGAAGAUUGAAUCCAGCCUGCUCCAAGCAACAUGGCUCAUUAUUAUGGCAAAAAUAUUACAGUUUUUCCUAUAGAUCUCUUAACAAUGAAUGUGAGUUGCGAGAAAUGAAAGGCAUGUGCCAGGCACACAAUUAUAUUAUCAAAUUAUAUUAUUUUUGUAUGUGUGUUUGUGUAUUGUGGUAUUAAGUAUUGUAGCACACUCUUGAAAUAUGGCAAUGGCAAAAUAAGCAUAAGCCUGAAAUUGCAUUGAUUCUAAGGAGCACAAUUUGUAAUUAGAAAAAAUAAUAUAUGUAUAUUUAUUUAUCAGCAGGUUGUAGUAAUCAAUCAAAUAAGGAAAAUUCCUAUUUCCUAUUCAGUAUUUUAAAUGUAAUGCUUUUGUUCACUUGUCUGCAGGUUAAAGACUAUUUAAACUGUAAUUCUCUUUUGUCUAGUAUGUGCUAAUAUCGCAAGAACUUAUUUAAUCUUAUUAUAAUCAAAUAAACAUAUUUAUUAAGUUCA